UAGGGUUUGGUUAGGAUUUGAUUUAGGGUUUGGAUUAGGGUUUGAUUUAAGGUUUGGCUAAGGUUCGAUUUAGAGUUUGAUUUAGAGUUUAGGAUUUGAAUUAGGAUUUAGGAUUUGGUUAGGAUUUGAUUUAGAGUUUGGAUUAGGAUUUGAUUUAAGGUUUGGUUUAGGGUUUAGGAUUUGGAUUAGGAUUUAGGAUUGGAUUAGAGUUUGGAUUAGGAUUAGGAUUUGGUUUAGGAUUUGAUUUAGGAUUUGAUUUAGGGAUUAGGAUUUGGUUUAGGAUUUGAUUUAGGAUUUGGUUUAGGAUUUAGGGUUUAAAAUAGGGUUUGAUUUAGGAUUUAAUUUAAGGUUUGUUUAGGAUUUGACUUAGGAUUUAGGAUUUAUUAGGGUUUAAUAUUUAAUUAGGUUUAGUCUAAAGUUUGAGUGAAAUUCAAUAAGGUUUUAACUAUAAUUAAAUUAAGGUUGAAUUGACAUAUAUUUGAAUAAUAUUUGUGAUCAUUCUAAUAUUUCUUUAAGAAUUUUAUUGUUUGUUUGAAAUUUCUUUGAGUUGUUUUGAAUUUGAUUACGUUUGUUUACCAUUAUUAUAGUCUAAUUAGAGUAUUGUUAAUAUUCUAUUAGAAUUAGGAUUUUGUUAUCACAAUUUCUAUUCUUCCUUCUACAACCAGGUGCCCGAAGUAUUCUCAAGCAAGACUUCACACGUUACGAUAUAUUUGGUGAAUCCGACGUGAAAUACUUGAGGUGGAAGGAAUUUAUUAUUAUUUUUAUUAUUUAAAUUUUG
rnacentral:lncRNA from 1 species